CAGAUCGCAUGAUCAGUACUUUUUAAAAGGCGGCGUAAGCUGUCGCUAGUGGGGAUGGCCCCGCGGUGCAUUAGCUAGUUGGUAAAGGUAAAAGGGCUUACCAAGGCGAUGAUGCAUAGCCGAGUUGAGAGACUGAUCGGCCACAUUGGGACUGAGACACGGCCCAAACUCCUACGGGAGGCAGCAGUAGGGAAUCUUCCACAAUGGACGCAAGUCUGAUGGAGCAACGCCGCGUGAGUGAAGAAGGUUUUCGGAUCGUAAAGCUCUGUUGUUGGUGAAGAAGGAUAGAGGUAGUAACUGGCCUUUAUUUGACGGUAAUCAACCAGAAAGUCACGGGCUAACUACGUGCCAGCAGCCGCGUAAU
rnacentral:rRNA from 1 species